AGAGUUUGAUCAUGGCUCAGAUUGAACGCUGGCGGCAUGCUUUACACAUGCAAGUCGAGGGCAGCGCGGGGGCAACUCUGGCGGCGAGCGGCGAACGGGUGAGUAAUAGAUAGGAACGUAUCCGGGAGUGGGGGAUAACUAGCCGAAAGGUUAGCUAAUACCGCAUAUUCUCUGAGGAGGAAAGCGGGGGACUCGUAAGACCUCGCGCUCGCGGAGUGGCCUAUCUCCGAUUAGCUAGUUGGUGAGGUAAAGGCUCACCAAGGCGACGAUCGGUAGCUGGUCUGAGAGGAUGAUCAGCCACACUGGGACUGAGACACGGCCCAGACUCCUACGGGAGGCAGCAGUGGGGAAUUUUGGACAAUGGGGGCAACCCUGAUCCAGCCAUGCCGCGUGCGGGAAGAAGGCCUUCGGGUUGUAAACCGCUUUUAUUCGGAAAGAAGGAGUGGGGGUUAAUACCUCUCAUGACAGACGGUACCGGAUGAAUAAGCACCGGCUAACUACGUGCCAGCAGCCGCGGUAAUACGUAGGGUGCGAGCGUUAAUCGGAAUUACUGGGCGUAAAGCGUGCGCAGGCGGUUCUGAAAGUCAGCUGUGAAAGCCCCGGGCUUAACCUGGGAAUGGCGGUUGAAACUACAGGACUAGAAUCUGGCAGAGGGGGGUGGAAUUCCACGUGUAGCAGUGAAAUGCGUAGAGAUGUGGAGGAACACCGAUGGCGAAGGCAGCCCCCUGGGCUGAGAUUGACGCUCAGGCACGAAAGCGUGGGGAGCAAACAGGAUUAGAUACCCUAGUAGUCC
rnacentral:rRNA from 1 species